rnacentral:rRNA from 1 species
AUGGACCUCGAUGAGCCCAUAGACUCCUCCAACACAGGAUCUAUAGACCUAGAUCCUUUUGACUAUGUCUACUCAAACAUCCUGAAGCAUGCGGUGAACUGGGACCAUUGCAAGGCCAAGAAGUUCCAGUACGAGACUGACGGCUUCUGCUGUUGGAACGGGGAGAUUGAGCUAGAUGAACCCGAGCCUAUCCCAGAGCUGAUGAGGUUAUGGUCUAGCGCGGAUGCAGACUCUCGACAUUUCCGGAAGAGCAUUCGAUUCUUCAACGGGCACUUUACCUUCACUACCCUUGAUGUUAGCCUAGACAACAACUACACAAACAUGAAGUCCAGGGUGUACACGUUUUGGGCACAUGGCAUUAUGUAC